rnacentral:rRNA from 1 species
AUCUGGGCGGCGGAAUUCAGGAAGGCCUGGCCGGGUUUGCGGCUCGUCCGGCGGUUGAAUAUUUCGGUGGCCUAGUCGGACGUCGCGACCGGUUGGUUGUCGGUCCCUGCUCGGAGGAAUCGCGAUCGAGUUCGUUGCGCGGCGCGCUUCGGUGUGCGGCGCGACGAAGACGCGUCUCUCUGGCCGACGGCGGACAGUAAGCAACGGUGUCCGGCGCCGUGUCUCGCACUCGGCGCCGGUGCCGGUCUGCGACGAUUUCUUCGGGCCUCUUUCCGACCCGUCUUGAAACACGGACCAAGGAGUCUAACAUGCGCGCGAGUCGCGGGGUUUCGAGCGUGCCACGGUGCGCUCGUUACUUGCGAAACCCGUACGUGGAAGGCGUAAUGAAAGUGAAUAUAGGGAAGAUGGCGUUCCGAGUCCACGUACCGUGAUCGAGUGUCGCGGCCGGACGUCCGCACUCCCGGGGCGUCUCAAUGGUUCGUCGCGGACGCGGACGGUCGUCUCUCGGGGCGGCCGUCGGUCUGCGCCGGACCGA